AGAGUUUGAUCAUGGCUCAGGAUGAACGCUAGCUACAGGCUUAACACAUGCAAGUCGAGGGGCAGCAUGAACUUAGCUUGCUAAGUUUGAUGGCGACCGGCGCACGGGUGAGUAACACGUAUCCAACCUGCCGAUGACUCGGGGAUAGCCUUUCGAAAGAAAGAUUAAUACCCGAUGGCAUAGUUCUUCCGCAUGGUGGAACUAUUAAAGAAUUUCGGUCAUCGAUGGGGAGUGCGUUCCAUUAGGUUGUUGGCGGGGUAACGGCCCACCAAGCCUUCGAUGGAUAGGGGUUCUGAGAGGAAGGUCCCCCACAUUGGAACUGAGACACGGUCCAAACUCCUACGGGUGGCAGCA
rnacentral:rRNA from 1 species